rnacentral:rRNA from 1 species
UACGUAGGGUGCAAGCGUUAAUCGGAAUACUGGGCGUAAAGCGUGCGCAGGCGGUGAUGUAAGACAGAUGUGAAAUCCCCGGGCUCAACCUGGGAACUGCAUUUGUGACUGCAUCGCUGGAGUGCGGCAGAGGGGGAUGGAAUUCCGCGUGUAGCAGUGAAAUGCGUAGAUAUGCGGAGGAACACCGAUGGCGAAGGCAAUCCCCUGGGCCUGCACUGACGCUCAUGCACGAAAGCGUGGGGAGCAACAGG